AUUGAACGCUGGCGGCAGGCCUAACACAUGCAAGUCGAGCGGAGCGGCGGACGGGUGAGUAAUGCCUAGGAAUCUGCCUGGUAGUGGGGGAUAACGUCCGGAAACGGGCGCUAAUACCGCAUACUCUCCGCUGAGCCUAGGUCGGAGUAGCUAGUUGGUGGGGUAAAGGCCCACCAAGGCGACGAUCAGUAGCGGGGGUGAGUGGAUGCUCCGCCAAACUGGGACUGAGACACGGCCCAGAGUCAUACGGGAGGCAGCAGUGGGGAAUUUUGGACAAUGGGCGCAAGCCUGAUCCAGCCAUGCCGCGUGUCUGAAGAAGGCCUUCGGGUUGUAAAGGACGUUUGUCAGGGAAGCGGUACCUGAAGAAUAAGCACCGGCUAACUACGUGCCAGCAGCCGCGGUAAUAC
rnacentral:rRNA from 1 species